GUCAUGGUGGCUGAGAGGCGUUGGACUCGAAAUCCAAUGGGGUCUCCCCGCACAGGUUCGAAUCCUGUCCAUGACG